rnacentral:rRNA from 1 species
UACGUAGGGGGCAAGCGUUAUCCGGAUUUACUGGGUGUAAAGGGGGCGCAGACGGCGAUGCAAGCCAGGAGUGAAAGCCCGGGGCUCAACCCCGGGACUGCUCUUGGAACUGCGUGGCUGGAGUGCAGGAGGGGCAGGCGGAAUUCCUGGUGUAGCGGUGAAAUGCGUAGAUAUCAGGAGGAACACCGGUGGCGAAGGCGGCCUGCUGGACUGCAACUGACGUUGAGGCCCGAAAGCGUGGGGAGCAAACAGG